rnacentral:rRNA from 1 species
UACGUAGGGCGCAAGCGUUGUCCGGAAUCAUUGGGCGUAAAGAGCUCGUAGGCGGCCUGUUGCGUCCGCUGUGAAAUCCCGGGGCUUAACCCCGGGCGUGCAGUGGAUACGGGCUGGCUGGAGGCAGGCAGGGGAGAACGGAAUUCCCGGUGUAGCGGUGAAAUGCGUAGAGACCCGGAGGAACACCAGUGGCGAAGGCGGCUUCCUGGUCUGCGACUGACGCUGUGGCGCGAAAGCUAGGGGAGCAAACGGG